rnacentral:tRNA from 1 species
GCAGAUAUAGCUCAGUGGUAGACUGCAUGUGUCGCAUGCAUGAGGUCCUGGGUUCAAUUCCCAGUACCUCCA